rnacentral:rRNA from 1 species
UCCACGUUUUCCGCGCCGUAGCUAACGCAUUAAGUGCCCCGCCUGGGGAGUACGGCCGCAAGGCUAAAACUCAAAGGAAUUGACGGGGGCCCGCACAAGCGGCGGAGCAUGCGGAUUAAUUCGAUGCAACGCGAAGAACCUUACCAAGGCUUGACAUGAACCGGAAAGACCUGGAAACAGGUGCCCCGCUUGCGGUCGGUUUACAGGUGGUGCAUGGUUGUCGUCAGCUCGUGUCGUGAGAUGUUGGGUUAAGUCCCGCAACGAGCGCAACCCUCGUUCUAUGUUGCCAGCACGUGAUGGUGGGGACUCAUAGGAGACUGCCGGGGUCAACUCGGA